GUGCAGAGAGAUCAUGAUGACUGGUCCAAAAUUGCGCACAUCCCCACAUAGAGGUUUUACCUAGGCCAUGAGUCCAGAAGCACUUUUUUUCAGUGUCACUUUCAGAUGUUAACAAGUGCCUCACAAACCCACCACCAAUUUCCGGUCGCUGCUAGCUGCUGAUCCUUUUGCAUCAUGUAAACGUUGGGGCAAUUGAUAACGAGUGUUGCUUCAAUUCCUUCUAAGAGCAACUGAAACUCACUGCAGAGAGGAACUUGUUCAGAUGAUCACUCUUUGAGAUUUAGGAAUUGGUGGUUAGCGGGAAAAGAUGUGAAGUCCUCUCCAGAAGAUAAGUUACUGCUUUUGGUUCUUUCUUCUCUUCCUAAUUUGAGAGAGCUUAAAAGAUUCAGCAUAUGACUGCUCCUGCUAUCCUCUCUAGUUGGGGUUGUCAAACUCCCUUCUAUGGUGAGAUAAUGGUUUCAGAGGCAGAGGUGGAAAAUUGGCCCAAGAUUUCCAUUAGAUCUUCAUUGAAAUAUUAGUGUUGGUAAAAGCG